rnacentral:misc_RNA from 1 species
AUGUUAUUGUUUAUUUUGAUAGGAAGUAUGUCACAACAUGGAGGUGUCCAAUACCACCUUAACUUGUUUCAGGUAACUGAAUGCUAAAGGCUCGUGUGUUCAUUACCUUAUAACCACUUAUGUUUCUGGUACAUGUUUUUUGGUUUGGUGUCAACUCGUAUGUGACUGAUUUUAUUUUGAUAUGUGUCAAUAUAAGAAAAGAAAUCCUUAAGAAAUGACAUUUACCAUACACUUAAAGCAAAGUGAUACAAACAGGGUACAGUGUUGAAAAGAUCUGAUUCUAGUAUCCAGAUCCUUGUGUCAGAGCCGUAAGAUUAUGAAUAGAGGAACCAGCACAAAGCAAAGAGCCUCUCAAUGCAACAUUGAUUUGUCAAAAUGUGCAUUAGAUUGUUAUUAUAGCUACCGUAAAUUGUAAAAAAACUCUUUACUUUUUUGAAAUACAGCAAUUUGCCUCCUUCAACAUCACAUGGAGCAAAAUUAUUUUGUGGUUGGAAAAUCACAAUGUAGAUCUAUAUAUAUGUCCAAAAAGCCAUUUGCCUUUCAAGAUGACUGAUUUUUAGCUCAAACAAAAAAAAAACCUCUGUCUAAAUUUUGCAUGACUUUUACAGUUGGAGUUCCGAAGCAUCGGACAUUAGUCAUCAAAUGGCCAUAAAUAUAUGACAUCAAUCAAGUUUUAGGUACAAAUGGGUCUUCUAUUCUAGGAUGAAACAGUGUCCAAGCAACACAAGGUUAAAGGUGCAAUAUAUGCGUUCACCAGUGUGUAUUUUUAUAGCUUAGUAUAGCUGUAAGGGAGCUAACAUGUCACAUUGUGAAUAAUGUUGUAGGCCUAUAUAUUCAUGACAUUGAUCUCAAUUUUCAUGGCCACCUCGGGACCAUGGGUUUUCUUUGUUUUAGUAGGUUUUCAAAAUGAUGUUUUAUAUCAGUUUGAAGGCCUUAAGUUGUAAAAUUAUUUGUAAAUAGUUAAAAUUUAAUAAAAUAAAUCGGCCCUUUCCAUUUGAUACCUUGCAGUGAGUCACCAAAGACACAGAUGUCUAUGUAUAUACAUUGUAUUAAUGUACAGGACUCUGCUAUCUUGUCAAUAGUUUAGGUGAUGCUGAUUGAAGCUGCUGGUCAGUGACAGCGGGUUCUUUGUUUUUUCAAUGAUCCUUAAUGAACAAGGACAAUGUAGACACGUUAUCUUUUGUAACACUGUUUUAUAUGCUGUUUGUAAAACGAUUCAUUCCUGUUGUUUUUUUAAUGUUGUUUAUUUUAAAAUAAAAACAGUGGAAUGAAUAAAAUUUUGAAAUG